GACGAACGCUGGCGGCGUGCUUAACACAUGCAAGUCGUACGGUAAGGCCCUUUCGGGGGUACACGAGUGGCGAACGGGUGAGUAACACGUGAGUAACCUGCCCACAACUUUGGGAUAACGCUAGGAAACUGGUGCUAAUAUGGAUAUGUUCUCCUGCCGCCUGGGGGGGGGUUGGAAGGUCCGGCGGGUGGGGAUGGACUCGCGGCCUAUCAGCUUGUUGGUGGGGUAGUGGCCCACCAAGGCGGCGACGGGUAGCCGGCCUGAGAGGGUGGCCGGCCACAUUGGGACUGAGAUACGGCCCAGACUCCUACGGGAGGCAGCAGUGGGGAAUAUUGCACAAUGGGCGCAAGCCUGAUGCAGCAACGCCGCGUGCGGGAUGACGGCCUUCGGGUUGUAAACCGCUUUCAGCAGGGACGAAGCUUUUUGUGACGGUACCUGCAGAAGAAGCACCGGCUAACUACGUG
rnacentral:rRNA from 1 species